AGGUAGGAGUACAUGUCUGCUGCUCUGUGCUGGAAAGUGAUAAUGACGGAAUAACAUGCAGGAGAGCUCGAGCAGCUGGAGGAGAAUUACCUCUCAUUCUCCAGGAGGAACAUUGUCCCUCUCUCUCCAGAGCCCACUUGAUAGGGGGUACAAGUGGCGGAGUGUUACCGACCACACUGACAGGGCAAUCUCUCUCUGUCUGACCUGAAGUAGACGGGACAAGGUACAAGUGUUGGCCCGACAGAAGACUUGGUGAAGAUGUCCUGAAUACCUGCAGAACUCACUUUUAUGUGGCUCACGGCGUGCUGACUGACUGCCCACGUGGGUUGCCCACGUGACGUGUCAUGUACCACGUGUCAUAGUGUUCCUGACCUGAUCACCCCACGUGACCGGACUAAAACCUGGCAAUGGGCUGACAGGUGAAAAUCCUGCACAUCAGAAGCCAUACUCGUCUACCCUUGAUUGUAAUUCGAAUUAAAACAUUAACAGAUUUGGGAAACCGGAGAAUAAUACCAACUUUCUCUGAAGAAAAUGGAUCAUAAUGUGGGAGGAAAUGUUUCGCUAGAAACUGUCUCUAAACUCUAUAGUCUAUAAGUAUUUAGUAUACGUCCUGACAAUAAAUUUGUACAAAUUCUUAUACCUUAUUGAACGUAUGAUAUAUAUAGCUGAAUUGAAUACGAUUAUUGGUUGUAUAUUCCAAUUUUUGCGUUGAAUCCCAUUUUACCUAACCCUUCCUCUUUCUGCCCUAUUGGUAUGUAACGAGACUGUUUGUCUAUGGGUAUUAGACAAUAGACGUGAUUAAAUUUUACAACAUUAUAUUAACGGAGUGUCUGGAAAAUGUCUAAUAGAAAGUCUAGAUUCAUAAUUUAUAUAGAAUUAUGCGUAUUGAAUUUAUCCCAUUAUUUUCGGUUGACUGAUUGCAUUCUAUAAUUGUAUCUGAAUAUUUAUUUCUGAUGCGGAGUCCUGCUAUUAUUAUUAACAUGUAAAAGAACUUUCUCCCGCUUUUGGCUCUACUGUGUUUCAAGCAAUUGCCAAUUAUAGCGAUUAUUGAACUGUUUUAAAGAAUAAAAAGAAGUGAUUUACAUUUUACUGUCACAAGAUUUAAUUGAUGAAACCAAUUUAACAAUUAUAUUAGAUACUGUCAUACUUGUAAGUUACAAUUUAUUAUCUGAAAUGAAAUGUUUUCUUUGGUUUCUUUCGUAAAUGAAUCAUUUUCACGACUGCUAAAUUAAAA